rnacentral:rRNA from 1 species
UCUCUCGUACGCAAUUGUCUCUCGUCCGAAGGACGCUGCAGCCGGUUCGGCAGUGCAAGCGCGACGGCCUGAAGGGCCGGAAACGGCAGGUGGCCGGUGGCUCGCCUCGUGCGUGCUGCCGGUUGUUAGCCGUCCGGUCGGUGGCCCGUCGCCGGACCGUGGUGGCGCGAGUCCCUCGGGACUCCUCGUCUCCUCCCCAGGGAAGCGGGGCGGAACGCGGCAAGGGUUCUUCACCGACUCGUCGCACUCCCUCGGAGUGGGCGGACAGGUGCGGAGCCCCGUUGGCCGCGGCGGACCCGCCGGGGACCGGAGGCUGGCAGCGAGUAGGUCGGUCACCCACCCGACCCGUCUUGAAACACGGACCAAGGAGUCUAACAUGUGCGCGAGUCAAUGGGUCUUGAACAGGCCCAGGGGCGCAAUGAAAGCGAAGGCCCGUCUGGUGCGGGCCGAGUCGGGAUCCCCCGUCCUCGCGGCGGGGGCGCACCGACGACCCGCCCUGUCCGGCUCGCCGGUUGGGCGGAGUCUGAGCGUAC